UACGGAGGAUGCAAGCGUUAUCCGGAUUUAUUGGGUUUAAAGGGUGCGUAGGCGGAUAUGUAAGUCAGCGGCGAAACUCACAGGCUCAACCUGUGCCGUGCCGUUGAAACUGUGUAUCUGGAAUGCGGAUGCUGUGGGAGGAAUGUGUAGUGUAGCGGUGAAAUGCAUAGAUAUUACACAGAACACCGAUUGCGAAGGCAUCUCACAAAGCCGUUAUUGACGCUGAGGCACGAAAGUGUGGGGAUCAAA
rnacentral:rRNA from 1 species